rnacentral:rRNA from 1 species
UACGGGGGGGGGCAAGCGUUGUUCGGAAUUACUGGGCGUAAAGGGCUCGUAGGCGGUCUGUCGCGUCGGGAGUGAAAACUCAGGGCUUAACCCUGAGCCUGCUUCCGAUACGGGCAGACUAGAGGUAUGCAGGGGAGAACGGAAUUCCUGGUGUAGCGGUGGAAUGCGCAGAUAUCAGGAGGAACACCGGUGGCGAAGGCGGUUCUCUGGGCAUUACCUGACACUGAGGCGCGAAAGCGUGGGGAGCAAACAGG